AUUGUACGCUGGCGGCAGGCCUAACACAUGCAAGUCGAACGAGUGGCGGACGGGUGAGUAAUGUCUGGGAAACUGCCUGAUGGAGGGGGAUAACUACUGGAAACGGUAGCUAAUACCGCAUACCAUCGGAUGUGCCCAGAUGGGAUUAGCUAGUAGGUGGGGUAAAGGCUCACCUAGGCUACGAUCCCUAGCUGGUCUGAGAGGAUGGCCAGGCACACGGGAACUGAGACACGGCCCAGACUCCUACGGUGGGCAGCAGUGGGGAAUAUUGCGCAAUGGGCGCAAGCCUGAUGCAGCCAUGCCGCGUGUAUGAAGAAGGCCUGCGGGUUGUAAAGUACUUUCAGCGGGGAGGCGUUACCCGCAGAAGAAGCACCGGCUAACUCCGUGCCAGCAGCCGCGGUAAUUC
rnacentral:rRNA from 1 species